rnacentral:rRNA from 1 species
AACGCUGGCGGCGUGCCUAAUACAUGCAAGUCGAACGGUCUUUCUAUGGAAGCUUGCUUCCACUGAGAGAUAGUGGCGAACGGGUGAGUAACACGUGGGUAACCUGCCCAUAAGAGGGGGGAUAACAUCCGGAAACGGGUGCUAAUACCGCAUAGUUUUCUUGAUCGCAUGAUCGGGAAAGGAAAGACGGCCUUUGUGCUGUCGCUUAUGGAUGGACCCGCGGCGUAUUAGUUAGUUGGUGAGGUAACGGCUCACCAAGACGAUGAUACGUAGCCGACCUGAGAGGGUGAUCGGCCACAUUGGGACUGAGACACGGCCCAAACUCCUACGGGAGGCAGCAGUAGGGAAUCUUCCGCAAUGGACGAAAGUCUGACGGAGCAACGCCGCGUGAGUGAAAGAAGGUUUUCGGAUCGUAAAACUCUGUUGUCAGAGAAGAACAAGUUGGAGAGUAACUGCUCCAGCCUUGACGGUAUCUGACCAGAAAGCCACGGCUAACUACGUGCCAGCCGCCGC